rnacentral:lncRNA from 1 species
GAGUUGGAGGGCUGGAUUAGCAUUCAUAUAGGUUAGUCUGGACAAGAAUUUACUUGGGUCUUGUCUGCAGAUAUUAUUGGUUAGGCUUGAACUGGCAUAAUGCCGCCAAGGAAAGGAGGUGGAAAAAAGAAGGGCAAAAGCCCUGCCAAGAAGCGUGUCAUUCCUCAGGUGUCUCCUCCUGGGUCGACCUCUGACGAGGAGUCCUGGGUAAUGUUGAAGGAAUUGCAGGCCAAGGUGGCUAGAUUGGAAAACAGGCAGCUUGAGAGGCAGGCUCCUGGAGGUGGGGAAGUCACGCCACGCCAUUCAGUUAGAGAGACAAAGGGGCGGCGUAGGGCAGAUGUGAGAGCUAUGACUGUGGAAUUAACGAAGCGACUUGAUGCCAUUGAAUCUGAGCAGGUGCAAGAUCUGGAAGAGCAUAGUAUGGAUGAUGUUUCGGAGACGGUGCCAGUGAGGGCUGAUGGACGCAAACGUGGGAGGAUGGAUCCAGCAGUCUAUCAGGAGAUGGGAGAGGGAACAUCAUAUGGGUAUGACCCUUAUGAUGAACCCUCCACGAGUUAUCAAGGGGCCGCGGCGACGACAGGAUCACCGAGAACAGGGUCUGGUGAGUAUGGCAGUUCGCACAACACAAUCAGUCCGGCGGCACAGUGGCCCUGGGCUGGAGGUCUACAACAGUCAGGUACAUAUCCCAGUACAUAUUCAAUGUCUGGUCCGGCAUGGCCGGGCGGUUUCUGGCCCCCAGUGGGGCAGCAAUGGUUUGGAUGGGGAAUGCCAUUCCCAACACCGGUGAAGCCAGCGGUGGAUGAAGGUAAGAGUCCAGUUACACAGCAGCAUCCAUCAGUACCCAAUACAGGUUACAAUACAGUGCCAAUGUCAGCUAUUCCUUACACAGACUAUAGUACGCCACUGGGAGACCAUCUGACGCCAGCUGUUAAGGAAAGGAUUUGGCGCGGAGAUUUCAUUGAUUUUUAUGAAUUGCUUAACCGGGAAUUUGAGGUAAAGGAGAUUGAUAAAGAUGAUGAGAAAUUGAAGGAGAAACAUAGGCGCAAGAGACCGGAUAGGAAUUGGACCAACUGGGUCACAGGAUUUACGAUAUAUGCAGGAGUCUUAGUAAAAAUGCAGCCUUGGAAGGCUUCAGCCUUGUUCCAAUAUUUUGAUAUCAUGCGUAGAGCAAAGGCUGAAUUUGAGGGUCAGGCGUGGCUGCGUUAUGAUGAGGCAUUCCGAAUGCGGAGUGCUAUCCGGCCUGAGCUACGAUGGGAUGAAACACACCCAGGACUCUGGCUACAGCAUAUGUCGCCUGCUAAGACGAGUCUAGGCGAUAGAUUUGAUUGUGGACAUUUGAAUAUAAAAUACCCAGCUAACAGUGGCACCCG